AUGUCUCUAGGGUGGCUAGAGCGUCCUCCCGCGCUGCGCCGCGCUGCAGGUGACGGCGCCCGGAGGCUGUCGGGAAGUAGGCGGGGUGACGUGGGGUUGACGAGCUCGGCGGCGGGUUUGCUGAGCUCUGUGGCCGGCGGCAGCUGGUGCGGGGGGCGGCCGAGAGCGAGAGGUGGAUCGGGGCGGUGUGUGGCCGGGGCCAUGACGGGCAAUGCCGGGGAGUGGUGCCUCAUGGAAAGCGACCCCGGGGUCUUCACCGAGCUCAUUAAAGGAUUCGGUUGCCGAGGAGCUCAGGUUGAAGAAAUAUGGAGUUUAGAGCCUGAGAAUUUUGAAAAAUUAAAGCCAGUUCAUGGGUUAAUUUUUCUUUUCAAGUGGCAGCCAGGAGAAGAACCAGCAGGCUCUGUGGUUCAGGACUCCCGACUUGACACAAUAUUUUUUGCUAAGCAGGUAAUUAAUAAUGCUUGUGCUACUCAAGCCAUAGUGAGUGUGUUACUGAACUGUACCCACCAGGAUGUCCAUUUAGGAGAGACAUUAUCAGAGUUUAAAGAAUUUUCACAAAGUUUUGAUGCAGCUAUGAAAGGCUUGGCACUGAGCAAUUCAGAUGUGAUUCGACAAGUACAUAACAGUUUCGCCAGACAGCAAAUGUUUGAAUUUGAUACGAAGACCUCAGCAAAAGAAGAAGAUGCUUUUCAUUUUGUCAGUUAUGUUCCUGUUAAUGGAAGACUGUAUGAAUUAGAUGGAUUAAGAGAAGGACCGAUUGAUUUAGGUGCAUGUAAUCAAGAUGAUUGGAUCAGUGCAGUAAGGCCUGUCAUAGAGAAAAGGAUACAAAAGUACAGUGAAGGGGAAAUUCGAUUUAAUUUAAUGGCCAUUGUGUCCGACAGAAAAAUGAUAUAUGAACAGAAGAUAGCAGAGUUACAAAGACAACUUGCAGAGGAGGAACCCAUGGAUACAGAUCAGGGUAAUAGUAUGUUAAGUGCUAUUCAGUCAGAAGUUGCCAAAAAUCAGAUGCUUAUUGAAGAAGAAGUACAGAAGUUAAAAAGAUACAAGAUUGAGAAUAUCAGAAGGAAGCAUAAUUAUCUGCCUUUCAUUAUGGAAUUGUUAAAGACUUUAGCAGAACACCAGCAGUUAAUACCACUGGUAGAAAAGAUAUUCUGAUAUAGGGGAAGGAUUCUUUAAUAAGUUCCCCAAGUGAUUCUAAUGCAACUGGUCUGUGUACCACAUUUUGAGAAACACUUUGAGAAGACACUACUAGGCAAAUAAAAUUUUGGACCAUUAACUUAAAGACAAGAAUACAUGGCAAAAGAAAAACAGAAUGCAAAGAAAGCUCAGGAAACCAAAUGAAGAGGAUGUUUUGGGAUAUGUACACAUUUCUGCUUCUGCACUUAUUUUCAUGGAAAUCAUUAUAUGUAAAGAACUUUGAGCAACACCCUAAUUGGCUCAGUGCACGUUUGGUAAUAGUGCCUGUCUGUCUUGUCUUUAAUGCAUGAAUUCGUAAAUUUCUUCCCUCCCUGCAUCAUGUGCAUGUAGAGCAUAGUCAAUGAAAGUGAUGUUAAGAGUGCUUGCCCAAAUUCCAUUAUUUGACAUUGAAUCUGAGAACUGUUUGUUUUCUGUUUUCUGGAUGUAUAACUACCUUAAUGAAGCUAGAAAAUGCACAAAUGAUAAUCCUUAUCUGUAAUUUAAAUACUUAAAAUUUGUAAUUGUCAGAUCUUGAUUAAACUGGAUCUCUUAUUUCUUCUCAUCAUUAAUGGAAAAAAAUCAGUAUUUCUAUCUUUGAUAUCUAAGUGUUUUGAGGAUUUUAAAACUCAAUUUUAUGUGCUAUAUCAGUUAUUUGAAAAAGUAUGAUUUUAAUGUAAAUCAUUUAAAAAGGACAAAGUAUAAUUAAUUUCCAGUGAUUUUUUUCAUUACUGUCAGUAGAAAAGUAAUAAACAUCUCAAUUUUAUUUUAGUAAAA